rnacentral:rRNA from 1 species
UACAGAGGUCUCAAGCGUUGUUCGGAUUCAUUGGGCGUAAAGAGCGUGUAGGCGGCCAUUCAGGUCAGCUGUGAAAACUCGAGGCUCAACCUCGAGACGUCGGUUGAAACCGUUUGGCUAGAGUCCGGAAGAGGAGAGUGGAAUUCCCGGUGUAGCGGUGAAAUGCGCAGAUAUCGGGAAGAACACCCGUGGCGAAGGCGGCUCUCUGGGACGGUACUGACGCUGAGACGCGAAAGCGUGGGGAGCGAACAGG